CGUUAUGGUGGGCACUCUAAGGAGACUGCCGGUGACAAACCGGAGGAAGGUGGGGAUGACGUCAAGUCAUCAUGGCCCUUACGGCCAGGGCUACACACGUGCUACAAUGGUCGGUACAAAGGGUUGCCAAGCCGCGAGGUGGAGCUAAUCCCAUAAAACCGAUCGUAGUCCAGAUCGCAGUCUGCAACUCGACUGCGUGAAGUCGGAAUCGCUAGUAAUCGUGAAUCAGAAUGUCACGGUGAAUACGUUCCCGGGCCUUGUACACACCGCCCGUCACACCAUGGGAGUGGGUUGCUCCAGAAGUAGCUAGUCUAACCGCAAGGGGGACGGUUACCACGGAGUGAUUCAUGACUGGGGUGAAGUCGUAACAAGGUAGCCGU
rnacentral:rRNA from 1 species